rnacentral:tRNA from 1 species
GGGUCCUUAGCUCAGUUGGCAGAGCGCUUCAAUGGCAUUGAAGAGGUCAGCGGUUCGAGACCGCUAGGAUCCACCA